rnacentral:rRNA from 1 species
UGAGGAAUAUUGCACAAUGGAGGAAACUCUGAUGCAGCAACGCCGCGUGGAGGAUGAAGCAUUUCGGUGUGUAAACUCCUUUUAUUAGGGAAGAUAAUGACGGUACCUAAUGAAUAAGCACCGGCUAACUCAGUGCCAGCAGCCGCGGUAAUACGGAGGGUGCAAGCGUUACUCGGAAUCACUGGGCGUAAAGGGUGCGUAGGCUGGCUUCUAAGUCAGAUGUGAAAUCCAAUGGCUUAACCAUUGAACUGCAGUUGAAACUGGGAGCCUAGAGUUCAGAAGGGGCAGAUGGAAUUAGUGGUGUAGGGGUAAAAUCCGUAGAUAUCACUAGGAAUAUCAAAAGCGAAGGCGAUCUGCUGGGAUGAUACUGACGCUGAGGCACGAAAGCGUGGGGAGCAAACA